CAUUUUGAACCGCAUGGUUCGAAAUUGAAAGGCGGCUUCGGCUGUCACUUAUGGAUGGACCCGCGUCGCAUUAGCUAGUUGGUGAGGUAACGGCUCACCAAGGCAACGAUGCGUAGCCGACCUGAGAGGGUGAUCGGCCACACUGGGACUGAGACACGGCCCAGACUCCUACGGGAGGCAGCAGUAGGGAAUCUUCCGCAAUGGACGAAAGUCUGACGGAGCAACGCCGCGUGAGUGAUGAAGGCUUUCGGGUCGUAAAACUCUGUUGUUAGGGAAGAACAAGUGCUAGUUGAAUAAGCUGGCACCUUGACGGUACCUAACCAGAAAGCCACGGCUAACUACGUGCCAGCAGCCGCGGUAAUACGUAGGUGGCAAGCGUUAUCCGGUAAUUAUUGGGCGUAAAGCGCGCGCAGGUGGUUUCUUAAGUCUGAUGUGAAAGCACCACGGCUCAACCGUGGAGGGUCAUUGGAAACUGGGAGACUUGAGUGCAGAAGAGGAAAGUGGAAUUCCAUGUGUAGCGGUGAAAUGCGUAGAGAUAUGGAGGAACACCAGUGGCGAAGGCGACUUUCUGGUCUGUAACUGACACU
rnacentral:rRNA from 1 species